UACGUAGGGUGCAAGCGUUGUCCGGAAUUAUUGGGCGUAAAGAGCUCGUAGGCGGUCUGUCGCGUCGGAUGUGAAAACCCAGGGCUCAACCCUGGGCCUGCAUUCGAUACGGGCAGACUAGAGUUCGGUAGGGGAGACUGGAAUUCCUGGUGUAGCGGUGGAAUGCGUAGAGAUCAGGAAGAACACCGGUGGCGAAGGCGGCUUGCUGGGCCAUUUCUGACGCUGAGGCGCGAAAGCGUGGGGAGCAAACAGG
rnacentral:rRNA from 1 species